CCUAAUUGGAAUGGCAGACUUAGUUCAGUGUAACAAUUGCUAUGCAUGUUUCACGUUCCACUUUUUGGAGGUUUGGUUGUUGUCUAAUCUGUAGACAGUUCUCUAUCUUGCGGCAGGAGAUUGUAAUUUUGAAGUCUGAGAUUUGUAAAUUAUCUGGUGAACAAAAUCAUACUGGAACUGCUGCAAAGCCACUGCCGCAGAGACAUACUAGGAAAGGCAGAUGGAUUACUGUAGGAUCUGGUAGACUUAGAGUUGUGGAUAAAAG
rnacentral:lncRNA from 1 species